AUGAUAUUUAUGCUUGACUCCCCUGCAUUCCAACCAAUGGAGCAUGUGAGCAGAUUUCUAAUAGAAUGACAUAACAACAAAAGCAUGUAAUAGCGCUUUCACCCGGAUAAGAACUAGAAUCAAAAUAAGGUAGACAGAGAAAUUAUAACCGAGUGUUGUACAUUCAUUGCAAAAUUAAUAUGAUAAAACAAGUUCACCAUACCAUCAUUCUUGAGUCCAACGAGU
rnacentral:misc_RNA from 1 species